GUUUCAGUAGCGCAGCGGUUAACGCACGGCCCUGAUUAGGCGCGAGACGCGGGUUCGAUUCCCGUCUGAAACG
rnacentral:tRNA from 1 species